UUCUCCGAUUAAUGUUUUUGUUUCAGCUUUGAGAGAUACGUUUGUUGAAAUGUUCCAAAGGAUUAAUUCAUAACAGAAAUAAUCCAGCCAAAGACGAAAAUGAUGAUUGAUCCAGCCAGCAAAAGGAAAUCUGAUGAUUGAUCCGUCCAGCGAAGGCAGAAUCUUUGCCAAUAUCUUAAUACCACAACAAAUCUGAUUAUUAGGUUCGAUAUACGUAAAAGAUAUAUUGCAGAUACAUAGAUGCAUAUUGGGCCACAUCGAUCCUAUUGAAUUGUUAUCACUUUUGUAGGACGCAGACUGGGAUGUGAUUGAACAGCGAACAAGCCAUCAGGUUGCAUCCACCAGUUAAAUAUGCGGUUGUCGCACAAGUUGGUACAUCCGAAGGAAAGCUCCCAUAUAAGUGACUUGUUACGUCAAGCCGCUGACCGACUGCGAAAAUCAAGAAGUGUAUGAAGAAGGAACCAGAAAGCUGUGUGUACGAUAUAUUUUGAUAUAUCGUAGAUUUAUAAACAUAUCCGCCCGAUUCGUUGAAACGUUACUUAAAUUAAUAUCUUGUUAUGCUCU